UACGAAGGGGGCUAGCGUUGCUCGGAUUGACUGGGCGUAAAGGGCGCGUAGGCGGUUCGUACAGUCAGACGUGAAGUUCCUGGGCUCAACCUGGGGGCUGCGUUUGAUACGUGCGGACUUGAGUGCGGAAGAGGGUCGUGGAAUUCCCAGUGUAGAGGUGAAAUUCGUAGAUAUUGGGAAGAACACCGGUGGCGAAGGCGGCGACCUGGUCCGAUACUGACGCUGAGGCGCGAAAGCGUGGGGAGCAAACAGG
rnacentral:rRNA from 1 species